rnacentral:rRNA from 1 species
AACGAACGCUGGCGGCGUGCUUAACACAUGCAAGUCGAACGAGUGGCGAACGGGUGAGUAAGAAGUGGGUGGCCUCCCGCGCACUUCGGGAGAAUCCCGGGAAACUGGGUCUAAUACCGGAUAGUGUGGGAUGGGCGCGCGGCCUAUCAGCUUAUUGGGGGGGUAGGGGAUACCAAGGCGGGACGGGUAGCCGGCUUGAGAGGGUGGACGGCCACAUUGGGACUGAGACACGGCCCAGACUCCUACGGGAGGCAGCAGUGGGGAAUAUUGCACAAUGGGCGCAAGCCUGAUGCAGCCAUGCCGCGUGUAUGAAGAAGGCCUUAGGGUUGUAAAGUACUUUCGGCGGGGAGGCGUUACCCGCAGAAGAAGCACCGGCUAACUCCGUGCCAGCAGCCGCGGUAAUUC